UCGAUUCGAUCUGGUGUUGUAGGUUCAGUCUGAUUCGAUCUGGGAUACGCAGCGACAACGACAGCAACAGACCAUGAACCCCCUCCCCCAAACUGGCCCUCCCACCGGCCGCCGCACAGCCGCCGGCCCCCACUGUCCGCUAAGGUUGAGGACACCGGGCCUGAACCACGGACGCCCCGAGCUGCCGGACCUGGAUCACGGACACCAUCCUUGUCUCCUCCGACUCGAACUAGGGCACCGCUGCUCCCGUCUCCAGUCCCUCAUCUCCUCCAGCACUAGUUGUCCCCGCUUAAAGUGCCGGUCCUAGCCUCGUGGGUGGUGGCCUUGUGGGAGGAUGCCUGAGCUGAGAAGGAGGACACCGUCGUCCACCCCGGCCACCACACAAGGGAUGGCGCCACUGUGCCCGACGCUUGCCCUGGUCACCGCAGUGGUGCUUCAGCGGCUUCUAGACCCUCUCCUGGAUGUGGUGAUGGUCACACCACAGCCAUGGUGUGGCUGAGCCUCUACUACGGCUACAACCUCCCUCAGGUGAGCUCCUCCCCGUAACUUCUUCUCUGAUGUUGCUCCUGCAUGGCCUUCUCCAUGAUUUGGGUUGGAUGUGCGGCUCUACUAGUUGCUGCUAGAUG